rnacentral:lncRNA from 1 species
UCCAACCCAAAUCAAUCUAUAAAACUUUGAAACAACCACCAUGGAGAAACUUCACCUUUUGAUUUUGAUAAUUAUCCCAACAGGACGGCAGAGAUUGACUCUCACAUGGAAGGAAGAACAAAGAAAUCUGAUGAAGACUGAGAACCACUCUCACAGCCGGGUAUUGACAACUUCCGAUCACGUCAAAAGGCGUUUUAAAGCAUGCAAAAGAUUAAAACUAAAAGGAAAAAACAAACAAGAUCCGAACAGAGUCGGAGAUGAAAACCAAACAAGUCGGAAGUACUAAAUCAGAUAAACGGAAAGAAGUAUAACACAUAAAUCUGGUCUUGCCGGAACUUAUUCUCCGAUCAAACAGAAAAACAAAAGAUAUAAACAUUGGAAACAC